rnacentral:lncRNA from 1 species
CAAGGGAGCUAGCAUCCUAAUGAGAUCAAGAAGAUUUUGAUCAGAUCAAAGUCUCGUGUGAAUAUCCGUAAAGACCGAAUGUUUGUAUGAUUUUUAGGGACCUUCGAAAGACAUCCACGAUCAUUGGUUCAUGGUGUAGAUAGACCCGAAUCAAGGUAUGAAGAUUAGAUCUUAUCCAUUUAUUCUUUUCUUUUUGAUUUCUAUAUCCGAAUCCUAUCUCACAUAUGUAGAUCUUAUUGUAUGGUCU